GUUCGAGCGUCAUUACAACCCUCAAGCUUUGCUUGGUAUUGGACAUUGCCAGUUUCUGGCAGGUCUUAAAAUCAGUGGCGGUGCCAUUUGGCUUCAAGCGUAGUAAUUCUUCUCGCUUUGGAGAUCCAGGUGGUUACUUGACAAUCAACCCCAUUUUUCAGGUUGACCUCGGAUCAGGUAGGGAUACCCGCUGAACUUAA
rnacentral:misc_RNA from 1 species